GAUGAAGCUAGGGAACCGUUGAAUGCAUGACCUUGUGCUGGAGGCACGGAGGCAGGGGCUCAAGCACGACACCAGCCUGCGGCCCACUGCUGUGGUGUUCCUGUGGGGCACAGGCCUCUCUUCCUCUCCUAUCUGGCCUCCCUGCUUGUGUUUAGAAGGAAAUGGUCCAUUUCAAAGGGUUGGGCCCGUUGCUUCUCCAGAUGCUCACUUACAUCUGCCCACUUCUGAGUUGAAAGCGCUCCUGGUAUAUGCAGAUGCUGUUACAGCUCUUUGGGAACUACAGUUUGCUGAAACUUUGGAAAAGGACAAGUAGAUGCUGAAUAUCAGAUCCAGAGCGAAGGAGCAGGCAUUCAUGGGAUUUGUUUUGAAGAAGAACAUCCUUAAGAAAAUGAAUCAAAGGCUUCAGAAGGCUGUGCAGCAGAGAGGUUACCUUUUAUCUCCCCCAAACCUCCUUUUCAGCUAUUUCAAGACUUUCAUAAGUUUUAAGAAAUUGCUUUAAAAUGUUUUUAAGUAUGUAAGGAAACUAGGAGAUUAGAGACAAUUAAAUAAUGCAUAAAUAUCAGUGGAAAAUAACCCAUUAAAACAUGAAUUACAUUUUGAGUUUUCUGUAUAUUGUAUUCUCUUCAGAUUUUCAAAGCAAAAAGGUACACUGCAACAUUUAUUCCAAUACAUUUUUAAGCACAUGCAACACUGGUGUCCUAUUUGUACAUUGAUUUCUAAUGCUGUCCAAGAACCUUUACAUUAAAAGCAUACAAGAACUCACACACACGUGCAUGUAUUCCUUCUAGCAUCAGUUGUGAAGAAAACUUAAAUUUUUCCUUGAGAAACCAAAUGUCAGUUCUGCAAGUACAUUUGAUUAAUAAUCCUCCAGCUAUUCUGAACUAAUUCCUAAUCUAAAAGCCUCGCAGUCAUUUGCAGUUUGGAUCUGAAAUAGUUGUUGUUCAUCGGAUUGCAAUGUUUGAUUGAAAUUGUUCAAAACAGUCCAAGUUUGCAGCACUAAAGACAAAAAAUACAUUCUUAUUUAAAAACAUGCUCAAUGCAGAUGAAGGAUCACAUGGAGAUGCUAACAUUUAAAACAUAAAAUUGCUAAAACACAACCACAUAUAGACUAGAAAACGUUGCAGUUCUUUAAAGGUUUCUCAUUCAUUGAAUAAUUCAUAAAAUUAUACAGUCAGCCUUUUUUUCUGACUUAAAUAUUUAGGCCAACUUACAAUAAUAAUAAUAAAAAGCUAAAAUGACUCCUUGUAAAAGAAUGACGAUUGUUUAAAAUAAAUACAUAUUUUAAGAUAUUGCUCUGAGACUAUGUCCAUCACAUUCCACUAGAUGUCAGCGUUAGAACCAGCUUCUUCAGACUUUACAGAAUGAGUCCACUGCAUUUGUUUUUGUUACCUUGUCUUUGAUACACAGUACAUGUCAACUACAUUAAUAACUAAGCGUAUAUUUAUGGUAGUAAAUUGAACCAAAAAUAACAGUCUCAUUUCAUUGACCCUCCACUCACCCCUACCAUUUACUGGAUUUGAACAAAGGUCUUCAAAUCAGUUUCAUGAUGACAAUAGUGUUUUUAAGUGAGAUGUAAAUCAUUUCAGUUUUUCUAACUACUUCUCCUAAUGCAGAGAUAUGGGCUUCUCACUUUAGAAGACAGCACAAUGAGCUCUUUUUGUCAGAUACUGUAAUUCCUGGAAGAUAAAGCUCUUUGUGUUAAAUACAGUGUAGUUGAUCUAUGUUGAAAAUUAUAAGGCACGUGCUUUAUUAUUAUUAUUUUUUAAUCCCAUGUCCUGAAGUACUGUUACUAUCUUGCUAUUCUGGAUGUUCCAUCAUAGUUACUGUUUUUUUUUCAUGGUUUUGGACACAAGGAAUGAAAGACCAUGAAAUGCAUGAAAAUACAAAAAACAAGAACAAGACAAAACACAACAAUGUACACUACCACAGCAAUGAGCAAAUCUUCUCAUUUCUUUGACCAACAAAGCAUUGACAACUGCAAAGCACUCUUGGUUUUGCUCUGUAAAUACCUGACUUUAUUUAGAUAUACAGGUGUUUAUCACUAGAUUGCCACAGUAGCUGAAAUAAAACAAAGGCUGUUUCCUUUUCUUUUUUUUUUCUUUCUGCUAUGUUUCUUAACAA